rnacentral:rRNA from 1 species
GGAUGAAACUUAAAGGAAUUGGCGGGGGAGCACUACAACCGGAGGAGCCUGCGGUUUAAUUGGACUCAACGCCGGACAUCUCACCAGCCCCGACAUCAGUAAUGACAGUCAUGUUGACGACAUCCGCCCGAGCUGAUGAGAGGAGGUGCAUGGCCGCCGUCAGCUCGUACCGUGAGGCAUCCUGUUAAGUCAGGCAACGAGCGAGAUCCACGUCCCUAAUUGCCAGCACCAUCGCACGAUGGGUGGGUACAUUAGGGAGACUGCCAGUGCUAAACUGGAGGAAGGAAUGGGCAACGGUAGGUCAGUAUGCCCCGAAUGGGCUGGGCAACACGCGGGCUACAAUGGUCAGGACAACGGGUUCCAACACUGAAAAGUGACGGCAAUCUCGCAAACCUGGUCGUAGUUCGGAUUGCGGGCUGAAACUCGCCCGCAUGAAGCUGGAUUCGGUAGUAAUCGCGUGUCAGAAGCGCGCGGUGAAUACGUCCCUGCUCCUUGCACACACCGCCCGUCAAAGCACCCGAGUGAGGUCCGGAUGAGGCCACAUCACUGUGGUCAAAUCUGGGCUUCGCAAGGGGGCUUAAGUCGUAACAAGGUAACCG